rnacentral:rRNA from 1 species
GAUCCUGGCUCAGGAUGAACGCUAGCUACAGGCUUAACACAUGCAAGUCGAGGGGCAUCAGUUUGGUUUGCUUGCAAACCAAAGCUGGCGACCGGCGCACGGGUGAGUAACACGUAUCCAACCUUCCCGUUACUCUGGAAUAGCCUUUCGAAAGAAAGAUUAAUACCGGAUAGUAUCGAGAGAUUGCAUGAUUACCCGAUUAAAGAUUCAUCGGUAACGGAUGGGGAUGCGUUCCAUUAGGCAGG